rnacentral:rRNA from 1 species
ACGGAAGGCAGCAGUGGGGAAUUUUGCGCAAUGGGGGCAACCCUGACGCAGCAACGCCGCGUGCGGGAUGACGGCCUUCGGGUUGUAAACCGCUUUCAGUGGGAAAGAUUAUGACGGUACCCACAGAAGAAGCUCCGGCUAACUACGUGCCAGCAGCCGCGGUAAUACGUAGGGAGCGAGCGUUAUCCGGAUUCAUUGGGCGUAAAGCGCGCGUAGGCGGACCGUUAAGCGGGAUGUUAAAGCCCGGGGCUCAACCCCGGCCCGCAUCCCGAACUGGCGGUCUUGAGUUCGGUAGGGGAGGACGGAAUUCCCAGUGUAGCGGUGAAAUGCGCAGAUAUUGGGAAGAACACCGAUGGCGAAAGCAGUCCUCUGGGCCGCAACUGACGCUGAGGCGCGAAAGCUGGGGGAGCGAACAGGAUUAGAUACCCUGGUA